UCCUACGGGGGGCAGCAGUGGGGAAUAUUGCACAAUGGGGGAAACCCUGAUGCAGCGACGCCGCGUGGGUGAAGCAGUACUUCGGUAUGUAAAGCUCUAUCCGCAGGGAAGAAGAUGACAGUACCUGAGUAAGAAGCCCCGGCUAACUACGUGCCAGCAGCCGCGGUAAUACGUAGGGGGCAAGCGUUAUCCGGAUUUACUGGGUGUAAAGGGAGCGUAGACGGUUAUGUAGGUCUGGAGUG
rnacentral:rRNA from 1 species